rnacentral:rRNA from 1 species
GACAGAGGCCCCAAGCGUUAGGCGGAAUCACUGGGCUUAAAGCGUGUGUAGGCGGAUCGUUAAGUGUCUUGUGAAAUCCCACGGCUCACCCGUGGAAACUGCUGGGCAUACUGGCGAUCUUGGGCCAACUAGGGGCAGCCGGAACAAGCGGUGGAGCGGUGAAAUGCGUAGAUAUCGCUUGGAACGCCGAAGGUGAAAACAGGCUGCUGGGGUUGCGCCGACGCUGAGACACGAAAGCCAGGGGAGCAAACGGG